rnacentral:rRNA from 1 species
UCUAGUUAAUUCUACUAGUAAUUAUAUACUUAUCUUAAAGAUUAAGCUAUAUAUAUCUAAGUAUAAGCAAUUAUAUAGUAAAACUGCGAAUAGCUUAUUAUAUAAGUUAUUAUUUAUUUAAUAGUACCUUACUACUUAGAUAACUAUAGUAAUUUUAGAGCUAAUAUAUGCUAAAAAUCCUAACUUUAAAAGGAAUAUAUUUAUUAGAUUAAAAACCAAUGCCCUCUAGGCUUCUUAGUAAUUUAUAAUAACUUUUUAAAUUGCAUAGCCUUAUACUAGUAAUAGUUUAUUUAAAUUUCUUCCCUAUUAACUUUUAAUAUUUAGGUCUUAGCUAAAUAUAGUCGUAAUAGGUAAUAGAGGGUUAGGGCUUAACCCUAAAGAAGGAGCCUAAGAAAUAGCUACUAUAUCUAAGGAAGGUAGUAAGCGCGCAAAUUACCUAAUCCCGAUUUAGGGAGGUAGUAAUAAUAAAUACUAAUAUAGGGCUCUUUUAGGUCUUAUAAUUAGAAUAAGUAUAAUUUAAAUCUCUUAAUAAGGAACAAUUAGAGGGCAAGUCUAGUGCUAGUAGCUAUAGUAAUUCCAGCUCUAAUAGUGUAUAUUAAAGUUAUUAUAGUUAAAAAGCUUAUAGUUAAACCUUAGGCCUAGCUAGCUAGUCCGCCUUACUAUGUACACUAGUCUAGCUAGGCCUUUCCCUCUAUAGAACCCUAUACUCUUUACUAAGUAUAGUAGUAAAAUAGGACUUUUACUUUAAAAAAAUUAGAGUACUCUAGGCAGGCCUAUGCUUAAAUACAUUAGUAUAGAAUAAUAAAAUAGGACACGUAGUUCUAUUUUGUUGGUUUCUAGGACCGCUAUAAUAAUUAAUAGGGAUAGUUAGGGGCAUUAGUAUUCAAUUAUUAGAGGUAAAAUUCUUAGAUUUAUUAAAGACUAACUACUAUAAAAGCAUUUACUAAGGAUAUUUUUAUUAAUUAGGAAUAAAAGUUAGGGGAUUAAAGAUAAUUAGAUACCAUUAUAGUCUUAACUAUAAACUAUGCUAACUAGGGAUUAGACAAUAUUAUUUUUUAACGCGUUUAGCACCUUAUAAGAAAUCAAAGUGCUUAGGCUCUAGGGGGAGUAUAGUUGUAAGGCUAAAACUUAAAGAAAUUAAUAAAAGGGCACUACUAGGGAUAAACCGCUUUAUAUAGCCGUAGUAGCUCUACCCUAGAAAGCAGCCUAAAAGGGUUAGUAGUAUUCCUACUAGCGCUCUAGUGUAGCGAACUAAUUACUAGUCUCCUCUAGAAGUAACACCCUUAAAUUGCAAGAAAAUCCUAAAGCUAGUAUCACUAAGCCAGCGCUAAAAGGGCAUUAGUAGCUAGGGUAGCGACCUAGGGUAUGGUAAAAGCACACUAGAUAAUAUAAUAGAUAAUCUAUAGCCAAGCCUUAUCGCUAUAGGGUAUAGGGAAGGUUUAGAGACUAUAUAGGGGUAGGUAGUAUACUAUCUAGGGGCUCUAGCCCCUAAGCGCCUACUUAUAAUACUACUUAAGAUAUAGUCUAGCUAUGCUAAAAAUAGUAUAGGCUAGCAAACCUAGAAAUAAGAGCCUAUAGCUUAAUUUAACUUAAUAUAGGGAAACUUACUAGGUCUAGAUAUAAUAAGGAUUAAUAGAUUAAGAGCUCUUUCUUAAUUUUAUAGGUAGUAAUGCAUAGCUAUUCUUAGUUAGUAAAGUAAUUUAUCUACUUAAUUAUAAUAAUAAACA